UGACAUAAGUAACGAUAAAGCGGGUGAAAAGCCCGCUCGCCGGAAGACCAAGGGUUCCUGUCCAACGUUAAUCGGGGCAGGGUGAGUCGACCCCUAAGGCGAGGCCGAAAGGCGUAGUCGAUGGGAAACAGGUUAAUAUUCCUGUACUUGGUGUUACUGCGAAGGGGGGACGGAGAAGGCUAUGUUGGCCGGGCGACGGUUGUCCCGGUUUAAGCGUGUAGGCUGGUUUUCCAGGCAAAUCCGGAAAAUCAAGGCUGAGGCGUGAUGACGAGGCACUACGGUGCUGAAGCAACAAAUGCCCUGCUUCCAGGAAAAGCCUCUAAGCAUCAGGUAACAUCAAAUCGUACCCCAAACCGA
rnacentral:rRNA from 1 species